rnacentral:piRNA from 1 species
UGGGAUACGGUGAUUGCUAGUUGUGAUU